CAGUAGCCGCGGGAAUACGGAGGGUGCAAGCGUUACUCGGAAUCACUGGGCGUAAAGGACGCGUAGGCGGAUUAUCAAGUCUCUUGUGAAAUCUAACGGCUUAACCGUUAAACUGCUUGGGAAACUGAUAAUCUAGAGUAAGGGAGAGGCAGAUGGAAUUCUUGGUGUAGGGGUAAAAUCCGUAGAUACCAAGAAGAAUACCUAUUGCGAAGGCGAUCUGCUGGAACUUAACUGACGCUAAUGCGUGAAAGCGUGGGGAGCAAACAGGAUUAGAUACCCCCGUAGUCCCUGUCUCUUAUAC
rnacentral:rRNA from 1 species